GAGGCCCUACGGGAGGCAGCAGUGAGGAAUAUUGGUCAAUGGGCGCGAGCCUGAACCAGCCAAGUCGCGUGAGGGAGGACGGCCCUACGGGUUGUAAACCUCUUUUGCCGGGGAGCAACGGGCGUCACGUGUGGCGCCACUGAGAGUACCCGGAGAAAAAGCAUCGGCUAACUCCGUGCCAGCAGCCGCGGUAAUACGGAGGAUGCGAGCGUUAUCCGGAUUUAUUGGGUUUAAAGGGUGCGUAGGCGGAUCGUUAAGUCAGUGGUCAAACUGAGUGGCUCAACCCCUUCCCGCCAUUGAAACUG
rnacentral:rRNA from 1 species